rnacentral:rRNA from 1 species
GAUGAACGCUAGCGGCAGGCUUAAUACAUGCAAGUCGUGGGGCAGCAUGAGUAGCAAUACUUGAUGGCGACCGGCAAACGGGUGCGGAACACGUACACAACCUUCCGAUAAGUGGGGAAUAGCCCAGAGAAAUUUGGAUUAAUACCCCGUAACAUAUAGAGUAGGCAUCUUCUUUAUAUUAUAGCUUCGGCGCUUAUUGAUGGGUGUGCGUCUGAUUAGGUAGUUGGCGGGGUAACGGCCCACCAAGCCUACGAUCAGUAGCUGAUGUGAGUACAUGAUCCACAACACGGACAAUGAGCCACGAGGCCGACUCCUACGAGAAGCACCAGUAAGGAAUAUUGGAAAAGGGGCGCAAGCCAGAUCAAGCCAUGCCGCGUGAAUUGUUAAGGUCGUGUGAAUUGUAAACUUAUUUUAAUUGGGACAAAAAAAGGGAAUUCUUUCCCACUUGACGGUACCAAGUGAAUAAGCACCGGCUAACUCCGUGCAAGCCGCCGCGGUAA